rnacentral:rRNA from 1 species
GGAAUAUUGGACAAUGGGCGAAAGCCUGAUCCAGCAAUGCCGCGUGAGUGAUGAAGGCCUUAGGGUUGUAAAGCUCUUUUACCCGGGAUGAUAAUGACAGUACCGGGAGAAUAAGCUCCGGCUAACUCCGUGCCAGCAGCCGCGGUAAUACGGAGGGAGCGAGCGUUGUUCGGAUUUACUGGGCGUAAAGGGCGCGUAGGCGGUCUCAGAAGUUCUGGGUGAAAGCCCCCGGCUCAACCGGGGAAGUGCCUGGAAAACCAUGGGACUGGAGUGCUGGAGAGGCAAGCGGAAUUUCUGGUGUAGCGGUGAAAUGCGUAGAUAUCAGAAGGAACAUCUGAGGCGAAGGCGGCUUGCUGGACAGACACUGACGCUGAGGCGCGAAAGCUAGGGGAGCAAAC